rnacentral:rRNA from 1 species
UACAGAGGUCUCAAGCGUUGUUCGGAUUCAUUGGGCGUAAAGGGUGCGUAGGCGGCAGCGCAAGUCAGGUGUGAAAUCCCGGGGCUCAACCCCGGAACUGCACUUGAUACUGCGUUGCUAGAGUACUGGAGAGGAGACUGGAAUUCUCGGUGUAGCGGUGAAAUGCGUAGAUAUCGAGAGGAACACCUGCGGCGAAGGCGGGUUGCUGGGCUGACACUGACGCUGAUGCGCGAAAGCCAGGGGAGCGAACGGG